ensembl:lncRNA
CGGUGCCCUCCCGAGGGGCGCUGCCCUCGGCUACGCGCCGCGGCGGGGGCCGGCGCGGGAAGGAUGCUCCUGAAGCCAGGAGCUCCUGGGGCCGGCGCGGGAGGGCGGGGGGCGCGCAUCCAUCCGGGGUCGUGGCGAGGGAGGCGACCGGGCCGCAGCGUCCCCCAAGCCCCGCACCCCUGCUGGGAAGAUGGUCAGCCCUCCAGUCCAGAGCUGGUGCCACUAGGAGUGGGCGCAAAGUAACUCCAUGGACGCUACUCACCCCCCCAAAAAAUAGCCUCCAACUGCGAUGGCCGCGGUCGGCACCAUUCACCAACCCCCGUGUAUGUUUCUGUUUCUUUUUAAACCAAGACUUCCUUGUGAUCUCUUUAGAGGGGGAAAAAAUGUGUUGGGGUGGGGGUGGGGUGGGGGCGGGCAAGAAGAGAGGGAGGGGGAGUAGCCACUUUUUUCUAAUUCACUCGGAUCUCCGCUCCCGGCACCCCCCUGUCGUGUCCCCCCCCUUCCCAGUUGUUUGGCUCCGGCGACAGUCCCAGGCUUGAACCCAGAGCUUUGCCUGUGCUAGGCAAGAGAGGACAAUGCUCUCAGUCUUCCCCCUGAGGAUACAUUGCAAGAACUCCAGCGUGCACAGAAAGAGAACCAAGAGUGGAACUGGUAUGUGCAGUGCCUGCGGGGGCCAGAAGAAGGCAUCAGACCUAAGAGGGACAGUUUUAAGUUGGAGCGUCUGAGAAGAUGGCAGAACUUACUUCAAGGGCUGCAGGAUGGUGGCUCACACCUACUAUCCUACCACCUAGGGGGAGCCGAUGGAGGAGAAUCGGGAGUUCAAGGUCAUCCUGGACUACAUAGCAAAUUUGAGGUCAGCCUGGACGGCCGAAGGUCCUGGAUUCAACUCUCAGCAUUGCAAAAAUAAUAAAGAUCUUAUACCCGAGAGGAGUCCAUAGGAUCAGAGUCCUUGAGUACAAGGCACAGACAAGGUUAAGAGGCUAACAG